rnacentral:misc_RNA from 1 species
GAUGAAGAACGCAGCGAAAUGCGAUAAGUAGUGUGAAUUGCAGAAUUCAGUGAAUCAUCGAAUCUUUGAACGCACAUUGCGCCCUUUGGUAAUCCAAAGGGCAUGCCUGUUCGAGCGUCAUUUGUACCCUCAAGCUUUGCUUGGUGUUGGGCGUCUUGUCUCUAGCUUUGCUGGAGACUCGCCUUAAAGUAAUUGGCAGCCGGCCUACUGGUUUCGGAGCGCAGCACAAGUCGCACUCUCUAUCAGCAAAGGUCUAGCAUCCAUUAAGCCUUUUUUUCAACUUUUGACCUCGGAUCAGGUAGGGAUACCCGCUGAACUUAAGCAUAUCAAUAAGCGGAGGA